rnacentral:rRNA from 1 species
AACGUAGGAGGCAAGCGUUAUCCGGAGUUACUGGGCGUAAAGAGCGUGUAGGCGGCCAAACAGGUCCGUUGUGAAAACUGGAGGCUCAACCUCCAGACGUCGACGGAAACCGUAUGGCUAGAGUCCGGAAGAGGAGAGUGGAAUUCCUGGUGUAGCGGUGAAAUGCGCAGAUAUCAGGAAGAACCCCUAUGGCGAAGGCAGCUCUCUGGGACGGUACUGACGCUGAGACGCGAAAGCGUGGGGAGCGAACAGG